CAGUCGCCGCGGUAAUACGAAGGGUGCAAGCGUUACUCGGAAUUACUGGGCGUAAAGCGUGCGUAGGUGGUGGUUUAAGUCCGUUGUGAAAGCCCUGGGCUCAACCUGGGAAUUGCAGUGGAUACUGGGUCACUAGAGUGUGGUAGAGGAUAGUGGAAUUUCCGGUGUAGCAGUGAAAUGCGUAGAGAUCGGAAGGAACAUCUGUGGCGAAGGCGACUAUCUGGGCCAACACUGACACUGAGGCACGAAAGCUAGGGGAGCAAACAGGAUUAGAUACCCGAGUAGUCCCUGUCUCUUAUAC
rnacentral:rRNA from 1 species